AAAAUAUACCAAUAGCCCAAUGACAUAAUCUCCCAACUCGUCCCACCUUCUUUUCUCAAAAGAAAUCAAGCCGCAAGUUAAUGAAACGCGACAAGGUCAACAACAAUUCUAAACAACCUGGUAUGCACCCCCAUCUUCCCCAACGCGUAAACAACGCCCAACAACAAUCACAAAGAAUGAUUCCAAUCUUGAACAUGUGAAAUUGUCCUCGCACUUUUGUAUGGAUCCAUGUAGCCUUCAAGGACGAUCGAUCUAUCAAACUUCUUCUAGAAUGGAGCUAAACUUUCAGAAAAGGUUGUUUCUCUCAAAUGGUGAAUGACUUUUGAGAUUUGAUUUUAGGGUGGGACUCGUUCUUAUCGAUUUUUUUCCUUUUACCCCAAUUCCGAACCCUAAUAUCUUCCCAUAUUUACCUCCUCUUUUCACUUUAAGCAGGGGGAUUUCUUUGGGAGAAAACAAUUUUUUUGUGAUAGAGACAUAGAGAGUUGAAAAUAGCAAAAAUGAGGGGGAUGUUUGGAUGAUUUUUUUGUAAAAAAAGAGUUUCAAUUAGAUGAGACAUUAGAGAAAGAUUUGGAUAUUAUCUCAGUGUUUAGAGGAAACUGUACGUUUGAAAAGUUCUCGAAGAUAUUUGGUUCACUCUUAGCAUUUGUCCGCUUUGUUUUGUCCUUCCAAGUUUGUUGGGAUUCGUCGUUUCGGUGCACAAGUCGUUAAUAGCUCGUUGCUUUUAGUUAGAUGCCAGAAAAGUGCUCAAAGUGUAGAAAGGCACUGACCAUUUGGAGAAUUAAGGUGUUGUAUUUUAAAUGCUCAAUUUCCUCAAUUGAUUAAGUUGUUGCAAGAUAGAUUGCUAAUCUUUCUUUUCUUUUUCUUUGUUUUUCUUAUGUGAUACCAAUCCGAGUAACAUGGACUCCACUCUUGCAUAUCAUUGAGUCUUAUCAAGUCAAGCUUUAGUAUUCGGGGGAGAAAGAGAGGCUAAUGCAAGACUCCAAAGGCUCAGAAAGGGAUCUAUAUACCGUUUUAUACAUUGAUAUAUAGUCAGAAAAUAUGAUAUGCAAGUCCAAGAAAUAUACAGGGGAUCGAGGAGCUAAAUUAGGAUGUAUAAAAAGAGUAUACAAUCCAAUAUAAAGGGAAAAAACUAAAAUACACCCCAUAUAAGGAAGUAUAAGAUCAUUGUAUAUGCUAGAUUUUUGAAGGAAAACAGGCCCAAAGGCCUAAAAAUUUACAGCAGCAAAAUUUAGGCAAAAAGCCCAAAUUUAAUAUUUCCUUUCCUUCUUAUUUAUUUAUCAUUAUAUUUAACUAAAAAUAUAAAUGACCUUGGUUUUAUUUAAAGAUGAUAGUCAUUUCUCUUAUUUUUCUA